rnacentral:rRNA from 1 species
AUUGAACGCUGGCGGCAUGCCUUACACAUGCAAGUCGAACGGCAGCACGGGAGCAAUCCUGGUGGCGAGUGGCGAACGGGUGAGUAAUACAUCGGAACGUGUCCAGUUGUGGGGGAUAGCCCGGCGAAAGCCGGAUUAAUACCGCAUACGACCUACGGGUGAAAGCGGGGGAUCGCAAGACCUCGCGCUAUUGGGGCGGCCGAUGUCAGAUUAGCUUGUUGGUGGGGUAAAAGCCUACCAAGGCGACGAUCUGUAGCUGGUCUGAGAGGACGACCAGCCACACUGGGACUGAGAAACGGCCCAGACUCCUACGGGAGGCAGCAGUAGGGAAUUUUGGACAAUGGGCGCAAGCCUGAUCCAGCCAUGCCGCGUGCGGGAAGAAGGCCU